rnacentral:rRNA from 1 species
AUCAACUUUCGAUGGUAGGAUAGAGGCCUACCAUGGUGGUAACGGGUAACGGGGUGUUAGGGCACGACACCGGUGAGGGAGCCUGAGAAACGGCUACCACAUCCAAGGAUGGCAGCAGGCGCGCAAAUUACCCAAUCCCGACACGGGGAGGUAGUGACAAUAAAUAACAAUACGGGGUUCUUUUGGAUCUCGUAAUUGGAAUGAGUACAAUUUAAAUCUCUUAACGAGGAACAAUUGGAGGGCAAGUCUGGUGCCAGCAGCCGCGGUAAUUCCAGCUCCAAUAGCGUAUAUUAAAGUUGUUGCAGUUAAAAAGCUCGUAGUUGAAUUUCAAGACCGGCUUAUUGGUCGUGCUUUUGUACGUACUGGUAUAAUCGGUUUCUCCUUUCUGACGAACUAUAAUGCCAUUAAUUUGGUGUUAUAGGGAAUCAGGACUGUUACUUUGAAAAAAUUAGAGUGUUUAAAGCAGGCUCACGCUUGAAUACAUUAGCAUGGAAUAACGGAAUAGGACGUUUGAUUCUAUUUUGUUGGUUUCUAGGAUCGACGUAAUGAUUAAUAGGGAUAGUUGGGGGCAUUAGUAUUCAAUUGUCAGAGGUGAAAUUCUUGGAUUUAUUGAAGACUAACUACUGCGAAAGCAUUUGCCAAGGAUGUUUUCAUUAAUCAAGAACGAAAGUUAGGGGAUCGAAGACGAUCAGAUACCGUCGUAGUCUUAACCAUAAACUAUGCCGACUAGGGAUCGGAUGAUGUUAAUUUUUUAAUGACUCAUUCGGCGCCUUACGGGAAACCAAAGUGUUUGGGUUC